AUUGAACGCUGGCGGCAUGCCUUACACAUGCAAGUCGAACGGUAACAGGUCUUCGGAUGCUGACGAGUGGCGAACGGGUGAGUAAUACAUCGGAACGUGCCUAGUAGUGGGGGAUAACUACUCGAAAGAGUGGCUAAUACCGCAUGAGAUCUACGGAUGAAAGCAGGGGAUCGCAAGACCUUGCGCUAGUAGAGCGGCCGAUGGCAGAUUAGGUAGUUGGUGGGAUAAAAGCUUACCAAGCCGACGAGCUGUAGUUGGUCUGAGAGGACGAUCAGCCACACUGGGACUGAGACACGGCCCAGACUCCUACGGGAGGCAGCAGUGGGGAAUUUUGGACAAUGGGCGCAAGCCUGAUCCAGCAAUGCCGCGUGCAGGAUGAAGGCCUUCGGGUUGUAAACUGCUUUUGUACGGAACGAAAAGCCCUGGGUUAAUACCCUGGGGUCAUGACGGUACCGUAAGAAUAAGCACCGGCUAACUACGUGCCAGCCGCCGCCGUAACAC
rnacentral:rRNA from 1 species